UACGGUGUCCUUCGCUUUGAUCAGCGCCACUCAACACGUGGUUCGUAUAGGAGAUUAUGAUUGGGGUUCCUACACCUUUGCCUACUACCUCAGGAGAAUGCGCAUGCGAUCGCAGGGCUUGACCGAGGCUUGGUUAGGAUUCUACCCAUUUCUGUUGGUGAGUAUUUCUCUUGUCUUUUCCCAUGUACAAGUUAAGUGUGUUGACUGACAGCAGAUGUUUGCCUUUGUGUUGGCAGUUUUGGGCCUAUGAGAGGCUUCUAUGUUUGCGUCCUGUGAGCGUGCUAUGUUUAGCUACCUAUCCACGAGGACGGAGAUGACAUCG
rnacentral:lncRNA from 1 species